UUGCUGUGAUGACUUUCAUUGGGUUUCGCAUAUUGCUGAGUUCCAAUGAUGCCUCUGUCUCUUGGCUGUCUGAGCAA
ensembl:snoRNA